AGUGGGGAAUAUUGGACAAUGGGCGAAAGCCUGAUCCAGCCAUGCCGCGUGAAUGAUGAAGGCCUUAGGGUUGUAAAGUUCUUUCGCCGAUGAAGAUAAUGACGGUAGUCGGAGAAGAAGCCCCGGCUAACUUCGUGCCAGCAGCCGCGGUAAUACGAAGGGGGCUAGCGUUGUUCGGAAUUACUGGGCGUAAAGCGAGCGUAGGUUGCUCGGAAAGUCAGUGGUGAAAGCCCAGAGCUCAACUCUGGAACUGCCAUUGAAACUUCCGAGCUGGAAUCUCAGAGGGGGUAGCGGAAUUCCAAAUGUAGGGGUGAAAUCCGUAGAUAUUUGGAGGAACACCGGUGGCGAAGGCGGCUACCUGGAUGAGUAUUGACACUGAGGCUCGAAAGCGCGGGGAUCAAACAGGAUUAGAUACCCUGGUAGUCCACGCUGUAAACGAUGAAUGCUAGUUGUUGGGGGGUUCCCCCUCAGUGACGAAGCUAACGCAUUAAGCAUUCCGCCUGGGGAGUACGGUCGCAAGAUUAAAACUCAAAGAAAUUGACGGG
rnacentral:rRNA from 1 species